rnacentral:rRNA from 1 species
UACAGAGGUCUCAAGCGUUGUUCGGAUUCAUUGGGCGUAAAGGGUGCGUAGGUGGCGCCGUAAGUCAGGUGUGAAAUUUCGGAGCUUAACUCCGAAACUGCAUUUGAUACUGCGGUGCUUGAGGACUGGAGAGGAGACUGGAAUUUACGGUGUAGCAGUGAAAUGCGUAGAGAUCGUAAGGAAGACCAGUGGCGAAGGCGAGUUUCUGGA